GGCUCGGUAGCUUAGUUGGUAAAGCGCUCGUCUAGCAAACAAGAGUCCUGGGUUCAAAUCCCAGCCGAGCAC
rfam:Aedes aegypti strain Liverpool supercont1.450 genomic scaffold, whole genome shotgun sequence.